rnacentral:pre_miRNA from 1 species
UCCUGGAGGUUCAGCCGGAGUAGUUCCUCCAUGAAUUCAUCAUGGGAGAUCUCCGUAUGGACCCCCUGGACC